rnacentral:rRNA from 1 species
AAUCAACGCUGGCGGCGUGCCUAAUACAUGCAAGUCGAACGCGAAAGUCCCGCAAGGGAUGAGUAGAGUGGCAAACGGGUGAGUAACGCGUGGGUGACCUGCCUUCGAGUGGGGGAUAACGUUUCGAAAGGAACGCUAAUACCGCAUGACAUCCUGUCUUUUAACAGACGGAGAUCAAAGCCGGGGAUCGCAAGACCUGGCGCUUGAAGAGGGGCCCGCGUCCGAUUAGCAGUUGGUGGGGUAAUGGCUCACCAAGGCAUCGAUCGGUAGCCGGCCUGAGAGGGCGGACGGCCACACUGGGACUGAGACACGGCCCAGACUCCUACGGGAGGCAGCAGUAGGGAACUGUUCGCAAUGGGCGCAAGCCUGACGACGCAACGCCGCGUGGAGGAUGAAGACC